rfam:Leptospira biflexa serovar Patoc strain &apos;Patoc 1 (Paris)&apos; chromosome I, complete sequence.
AAUGCGCCAGGGAUUGCAGCGGAAAUCCUUUCGCAAUGCGAAAGAUUGGAGCGGAAAGCGCGGUCGCUU